AAGUACUUCUUUCAUCCGAUCCAAUUCUCACUUGGACUCGGGAGUAGGGGGCUUAUGUUGAGGGUGAUUUUAUAUUGGCUGAAGACAUAAAGCUUACGAGAAUACCUCAGGCCCCACCAUAUGUCUUGAUUUAUUUACUUCGACUACUAAUCCCAGCUUUAGCCAUUGACCCCCAAGAGGCCUCUUUAUAGCCCUAUCACGUCACCCUAUUUAAAAGUGAGAAUGGUCAUGAGUAAAGCAAAGCAAGCUCCCCACACUCAAUUUAUGGUUCCUGGUUAUCAGUUCAUGCAAUUAAUAGAUGUGGCUCUAUGUGCCAUGAGGUGACACCACUCACCC
rnacentral:lncRNA from 1 species